UACGUAGGCAGCGAGCGUUGUUCGGAGUUACUGGGCGUAAAGGGUGUGUAGGCGGUUGUUUAAGUUUGGUGUGAAAUCUCCCGGCUCAACUGGGAGGGUGCGCCGAAUACUGAAUGACUUCGAGUGCGGGAGAGGAGAGUGGAAUUCCUGGUGUAGCGGUGAAAUGCGCAGAUAUCAGGAAGAACACCCGUGGCUAAGGCGGCUCUCUAGUACGGUACUGACGCUGAGACGCGAAAGCGUGGGGAGCGAACAGG
rnacentral:rRNA from 1 species